rnacentral:rRNA from 1 species
AUUGAACGCUGGCGGCAUGCCUUACACAUGCAAGUCGAACGGCAGCACGGGUGCUUGCACCUGGUGGCGAGUGGCGAACGGGUGAGUAAUACAUCGGAACGUACCUUAUCGUGGGGGAUAACGCAGCGAAAGCUGUGCUAAUACCGCAUACGCCCUGAGGGGGAAAGCGGGGGAUCGAAAGACCUCGCGCGAUUAGAGCGGCCGAUGCCUGAUUAGCUUGUUGGUGGGGUAAAAGCCCACCAAGGCGACGAUCAGUAGCUGGUCUGAGAGGACGAAAAGCCACACUGGGACGGAGACGCGGCCCAGACGCCUACGGGAGGCAGCAGUGGGGAAUUUUGGACAAUGGGGGCAACCCUGAUCCAGCAAUGCCGCGUGAGUGAGGAAGGCCUUCGGGUUGUAAAGCUCUUUUGUCAGGGAAGAAACACCGGCUCUAACACAGUCCGGGAAUGACGGUACCUGAAGAAUAAGCACCGGCUAACUACGUGCCAGCAGCCGCAGUAA